CCUUAAGGUGGUACAUUCCUCUAGUCCCAGCUAUUUGGGAGGCUAAGGCAGGAGAAUGGCUUGGGCCCAGGAGUUAUGGGCUGUAGCACACUAUGCUGAUCAGGUUUCAGCAUUCAGUUCAGCAUUAAUAUGGUGACCUCCCAGGAGCACAGGACCACCAGUUUGCCUAAGGAAGGGUGAAAUGGCCUAGAUCUGAAGUGGAGCAAGUGUGCUGAUUAGUUGUGGAAUCAUGCCUGUGAAUAGCCACUGCAUUCUAGCCUGGGCAACGUAGUGAGACCUUGUCUCU
rnacentral:SRP_RNA from 1 species